rnacentral:rRNA from 1 species
UACGAAGGGGGCUAGCGUUGCUCGGAAUUACUGGGCGUACAGCGCGUGUAGGUGGAUUGGUGUGUCAGAUGUGAAAGCCCUGGGCUCAACCCAGGAACUGCACCUGAAACUACCAGUCUUGAGUGGUGGAGAGGGAAGUGGAAUUCCUGGUGUAGAGGUGAAAUUCGUAGAUAUCAGGAGGAACACCAGUGGCGAAGGCGGCUUCCUGGACACCAACUGACGCUGAGACGCGAAAGCGUGGGGAGCAAACAGG